rnacentral:rRNA from 1 species
GAUAAACGCUGGCGGCGUGCUUAACACAUGCCAGUCGAACGAAGUUUUUCCUUCGGGAGAAACUUAGUGGCGGACGGGUGAGUAACGCGUGGGUAACCUGCCCUGUACAGGGGGACAACAGCUGUAAACGGCUGCUAAUACCGCAUAAGCCCUUAGCACCGCAUGGUGCAUAGGGAAAAGGAGCAAUCCGGUACAGGAUGGACCCGCGUCUGAUUAGCCAGUUGGCAGGGUAACGGCCUACCAAAGCGACGAUCAGUAGCCGAUCUGAGAGGAUGUACGGCCACAUUGGGACUGAGACACGGCCCAGACUCCUACGGGAGGCAGCAGUGGGGAAUAUUGCACAAUGGAGGAAACUCUGAUGCAGCGACGCCGCGUGAGUGAAGAAGUAUUUCGGUAUGUAAAGCUCUAUCAGCAGGGAAGAAAAUGACGGUACCUGACUAAGAAGCACCGGCUAAAUACGUG